rnacentral:rRNA from 1 species
CAUCAUCCCUGUGUACAUACCUAAAACGUUGCUUCGGCGGGAACAGACGGCCCUGUAACAACGGGCCGCCCCCGCCAGAGGACCCCUAACUCUGUUUUUAUAAUGUUUUUCUGAGUAAACAAGCAAAUAAAUUAAAACUUUCAACAACGGAUCUCUUGGCUCUGGCAUCGAUGAAGAACGCAGCGAAAUGCGAUAAGUAAUGUGAAUUGCAGAAUUCAGUGAAUCAUCGAAUCUUUGAACGCACAUUGCGCCCGCCAGUAUUCUGGCGGGCAUGCCUGUUCGAGCGUCAUUACAACCCUCAGGCCCCCGGGCCUGGCGUUGGGGAUCGGCGGAAGCCCCCUGUGGGCACACGCCGUCCCUCAAAUACAGUGGCGGUCCCGCCGCAGCUUCCAUUGCGUAGUAGCUAACACCUCGCAACUGGAGAGCGGCGCGGCCAUGCCGUAAAACACCCAACUUCUGAAUGUUGACCUCGAAUCAGGUAGGAAUACCCGCUGAACUUAAGCAUAUCAAU